AUCAGAACUGGACCUGUGUAACUAGCCCACAGGUAGAAUGCUAGGAAGAGAAAGAUAAUUGAGGAGAUUACAAAGCCCCACUGAAACAGUUAAUUCAUCCCAACUUUCUGACAUUCAGGUGUUGCCCUUUUUUUGAUCCUGCUCAUCAAACUGUCUGAGUACACCUCUGAACAGUGACCAGAUUAACUGAAAAAAUGCUGGACGUAGUCACCAGGCGCUGGGCUCUCCAUUCACCUGUGAUCCAUCUACUCCUGAUUAGCUGCCUCAUAUAAGCUCCGGUCUUCUCCCUAGUGCCUCCCUCCACCAAGCCUUGGCACCUCACCACAAGCUGCCCAGCCUCAACCACAUCCAACGCCUCUCAACCACUCAACCACUCAGCCAGUUUUGCCACCUUCAAUCACGCCUCCACUAUCCAGCCUCUGGGCCUAGUUCUACUCAGUUCAUCAGCCUGUUCAUAAUAACAUUUCACAACCUCUAAGCCCCAUAUGUGGUUUGCAUUUUGGUUCUGGUUAAAAUACUUGGGUACAAACCGUAACAGUAAUACCUUUGUAAUUUUACUGUUUGU